rnacentral:rRNA from 1 species
UACAGGGGGGGCAAGCGUUGUUCGGAAUUACUGGGCGUAAAGGGUUCGUAGGUGGCCACUUAAGUCAGACGUGAAAUCCCUCAGCUUAACUGGGGAACUGCGUCUGAUACUGGGUGGCUUGAGUGCAGGAGAGGGAUGCGGAAUUCCAGGUGUAGCGGUGAAAUGCGUAGAUAUCAGGAGGAACACCGAUGGCGAAGGCAGCUCGCUGGGACGGUACUGACGCUGAGGCGCGAAAGCGUGGGGAGCGAACAGG